rnacentral:lncRNA from 1 species
GCGGCCGCGAGGUGGCUGGGCGCCGGCGACCGGGACACGGGGGAGGGUCGCAGACCCUGAACAGUUCGAAAACUACCGCGAGGUACAGUCUUGUGGGGCUGGUCGCAGUUGUUCCCCUGGAGCAGUAUUUGGGUUCGUCGUCACAGCAUCCCUGCCAGUCGGCUGUCCCCCCCACCCCAUCCCCUCCGGGCCGGAGACUCAACAGAGGGAUCGAGCAGACCGUCCUCCCAGAACCCCCGUGCAUCCCAGGGAUGGCGCCCUCUACAGGAGGGUCCUUGCCUCACUUUCGGGAGUCUCUUAACUGCAUCUCGUUGAUUCCUAGCGUUAGAAGAACUGAGCUAACAGGAGUCUGCCACCUCUCUGCCUUGCUGAUGCACCCAGGCAGGGCUCACUGGUUUGCAGGAGUACAUGACCACAGAUCAGAGCCAUUG